rnacentral:rRNA from 1 species
UACGGAGGGUGCGAGCGUUGUCCGGAAUCACUGGGCGUAAAGGGCGCGUAGGUGGCUCGUGAAGCGUGCGGUGAAAGUCCGAGGCUCAACCUCGGAUCGGCCGUGCGGACUCGCGGGCUCGAGCGUUGUAGAGGCGGGUGGAAUUCCGGGUGUAGCGGUGGAAUGCGUAGAGAUCCGGAAGAACACCGGUGGCGAAGGCGGCCCGCUGGGCAACUGCUGACACUGAGGGACGAAAGCUAGGGGAGCGAAUGGG